UCUUUCCCUCCCUCUCUCCCAAAACCUCCUCCGCGACGUCCUCAAGGUCCCCGAGAGAGACCGAAAUCCAAAUCCGGUGCCUGCCUGCCGCGGCUUGGGCUCAAUCACUUCAUCCGGGGAAAGGACAAGCAAAAAAAGUUGCUGCUGCUUCCUUUUAAAAAAAUCAGACGCCCCUUUCCUUUCUUCCUUUCGCUUGACCUCUUCCUCUUCUUCUUCCAGUCCCUUCCUUGCUCCCUUUCCCCUCUCUCCGAAGGCUAAGUCCAGCCUUGAUCCAUGGCAGAAGAGAAGAAGCGAGGAGGAGGAGAGCGCCGGCCCAAAGUGGUGCGAACGAUUUGUUAGUUCAUGAGCCUAAUUAGUGCGGAGGAUCACAUAAACAGCUUCCUCUGAAGCCUGGUAAAUGGCUUGAUGAUUGGUCGCUAUUACUCGCCUGGAGGAGGGGGGCAAGGAGGAGGAGGAGGAGGAGGAGGGAAAGGAGGGAAGGAAGGAAGGAGAGAAGCAGAAAGGCGCUUUCAAGUGCGUCAGAGGCGAAAACUUCUGGCCCCCGCGAUCCUGGAGGGGUGGAUCCCAGCCCGGAACUGGAACGGACUCUUCUCCGGACCGCAGGAAACCGGAGCAGAGCAGGAGACGCUUCGGCGGAGCCUCGGAGAGGAGUCAGUAAUUAUAUUCUGCCUUUCUCUCCCCGAAGGGGACUCAGGGCGGAUCACAGAACACAUAUACAGCAAACAUUCACUGCUGAUUAUACAAUGACAAGACAACAGAUAGAGCAAUUUGGAAGAGGCCGAUUUGGAGUGGAUACUUUCAACUAUCUGAUUGUAAGAAGAGUGCCUUCAAAAGAUUGCACAGCAUUUACAGAAUCCCUCAGCUAUGUGACGAUAGAAGCAUUGUAAUGAAUGGCAGAGUGUCAUGCAUAAAUGAACAAAUGAGCUAUUUUCAUGGCCCUUGACCCAUCCAGAAUGCAUCUUUUCCCAACAAUAAAGGUGAAUUGCUUCUCCUACAGGACUUCAGGAAUAGCAGUUGAAUGACACAGUCCAGGAAGGGAGAGAAAAACAGUGGAAUGAACAACUGACUUUGAAGAAGAUGCUGUUAGGAACAAGUUUGGCUUCUUUGACUAUUGUCUGCAGUUCCAUGAAGAUAUACCUCUGGCAAGUGAUUGGAUUGCAUCUCACAAAUGAGUAUCACAUUAUUCUCCUUUCUUACAUGGACACAACUCGAUGAUGAAGCCUACAGUCCUACACGCAUGGCUUGGAAGCUGCCAUCUACUGUGAAUAAAAGAAGCUGCAAGAGAAUGAAUGAACAUCCAGCAAAAGAUCCUAAAUGUCUGUGUAGCAGUUCUGUCACUGAAGACAAGUAGGUCUGGCCAUGUAAGCUGCCUGGGUGGGAGACCACCUGGAAACCAUAUGUGAGCUACACUGAGAUCCUUGGAGAGUGAGCUGGAUAGGAAGUAGAAGAAAGAAGUGCUGACAGUGAAGGAAUGCUUUUCCACCAAGAUUUUACCAUUCCCAUUUUUAAUUAAAUUGUGUAAGUAUGAUAAUGAGAAUCAUUACAAAAGAGUUACAGAUACACAUUUACAGCACAAAUGAAGAACUAAGGCCAGCAUGCCCAAAAGUUAAUAAUUUAAAAGUUGAUAAUUAACAAUGGGAGAGAAGAGAAGAGGAGAAAGGAUGGGCAAAAGCAAAGGUGACAAAGGAGAAAUGUUAGCAAAUGUAAGGUAAUGUUUAACCCUAUGAAAAUAAACUACAAUAAUCAGUUAUCUUCCUGGUGACUGAUUAAUAUCCUUCAAGAAAUGUCACUUGGAAAAAAAAACAUGGAUAGUGUAUAAUGUAUUUCCAUUAUCUAUCAUUACCUCUCUACAAAAGCAAAGCAUUUUUUUAACUUACUGGACUGCCUGCAUUACAUCUCCAACUAAUAGGCUAGCAGACCUGUUGUGUGUGGUCAGAGGGCUCCUUCACCCUGAUGCUCAGGAUGGGACCCCUGACCACCCGGUGGCUCAGUGUGGCGAUUUCGCACACCACUUUGCAGACAAAGUCACUCAGAUCCACUCCAACUUGGACACCAGCAUUGUUGCACUACCAGUAGAUGUAUCCAGGGCACUUGCUUGUCCUAUUUUAAUAGACUCAUUUCAGUUUGUUCAGCUUGAUGACAUGGACAAGAUACUUGAAACAGUGAGGGAGACCACAUGGAGUCUGGACCCUUGCCCUUCCUGGCUUAUUAAACAAGCCAGAGGGAGUAGGUUGAAUGGAUCUUGAGGACUGUCAGUGCCUCAUUGGAACAGGGCAAAAUCCCAACCUGCUUUUAAACAGCAGUUCUAAAACCAGUUUUCAAAAAACAGUCCCUUGAUCCUUUGGUGUUUAACAACUAUCGGCCCAUUUCCAACCUCCCCUUUUUUGGACAAGGUUCUAGAGCACGUGGUCAUCACUCAACUUCAGGGAUUCCUGAAUGAAACUGAUUAUCUAGA